GGACGCUUAGCUCAGUUGGUAGAGCACCGCCCUUACAAGGCGGGGGUCACAGGUUCGAGCCCUGUAGCGUCCACCA
rnacentral:tRNA from 2 species